rnacentral:rRNA from 1 species
GACGAACGCUGGCGGCGUGCUUAACACAUGCAAGUCGAACGAUGAAGCCGGAGCUUGCUCUGGUGAAUUAGUGGCGAACGGGUGAGUAACACGUGAGUAACCUGCCCUUGACUCUGGGAUAACUGCGGGAAACUGUAGCUAAUACCGGAUACGACCCUCGGAGGCAUCUCCUGGGGGUGGAAAGAAUUUCGGUCAAGGAUGGACUCGCGGCCUAUCAGCUAGUUGGUGAGGUAAAGGCUCACCAAGGCGACGACGGGUAGCCGGCCUGAGAGGGUGACCGGCCACACUGGGACUGAGAUACGGCCCAGACUCCUACGGGAGGCAGCAGUGGGGAAUAUUGCACAAUGGGCGCAAGCCCGAUGCAGCAACGCCGCGUGAGGGAUGACGGCCUUCGGGUUGUAAACCUCUUUUAGUAGGGAAGAAGCGAAAGUGACGGUACCUGCAGAAAAAGCACCGGCUAACUACGUGCCAGCAGCCGCCGUAA